GCCAAAAGUGAAAUACUAGUGCCUGUGUUGUGUGCGCUGGUGUACAACACGGAAAUUUCUUGUUUAUUCAUCUUCUUCCUCCGUCAGUGCAUCUUCUUUGUGUGUGUGUGUGAGUUCCAUCGACUGAGAGAGAGGGAGAGAGAGCCGUGUGUGCAAUGUGCCGUCGCGCGCCACGGGCCCUUCUCUCCGCUGCCAAUCGGCUGCCUCCCGGCCUCCGCUGGCCACCUUUCAGCCUAUGAAACGAUGAGGAAGAGAGGAAAAGAGGAGGGUGGCCGCCGCCCUUCCGGACCACGCCGCACCUCUCCCCGCCGCCAUUCUCAGCGACCAAGAACAGGGAGACAUGGCAAAAGUAGGAUCUGGAUGGGAGAUCACGCUGGAAUUAAAUUUAAAAAUAUACUUUUCAUUCAAUUUUUUCUCAUGAAUAUUUGAGAUGUAAAAUUUUUUCUAUAAAUAUACCGUCGAUCUCGUAC
rnacentral:sRNA from 1 species